rnacentral:rRNA from 1 species
GCGGCCGAUGCCGGAUUAGCUAGUUGGUAGGGUAAAGGCCUACCAAGGCGACGAUCCGUAGCGGGUCUGAGAGGAUGAUCCGCCACACUGGAACUGAGACACGGUCCAGACUCCUACGGGAGGCAGCAGUGGGGAAUUUUGGACAAUGGGCGCAAGCCUGAUCCAGCCAUUCCGCGUGAGUGAAGAAGGCCUUCGGGUUGUAAAGCUCUUUCGGCAGGAACGAAACGGUGGGGCUAAUACCCCCUGCUAAUGACGGUACCUGAAGAAGAAGCACCGGCUAACUACGUGCCAGCAGCCGCGGUAAUACGUAGGGUGCGAGCGUUAAUCGGAAUUACUGGGCGUAAAGCGUGCGCAGGCGGUUAUGUAAGACAGAUGUGAAAUCCCCGGGCUUAACCUGGGAACUGCGUUUGUGACUGCAUAACUCGAGUGUGGCAGAGGGGGGUGGAAUUCCACGUGUAGCAGUGAAAUGCGUAGAGAUGUGGAGGAACACCGAUGGCGAAGGCAGCCCCCUGGGUCAACACUGACGCUCAUGCACGAAAGCGUGGGUAGCAAACAGGAUUAGAUACCCUGGUAGUCCACGCCCUAAACGAUGCGAACUAGGUGUUGGAGAAGGAGACUUCUUUAGUACCGCAGCUAACGCGUGAAGUUCGCCGCCUGGGGAGUACGGUCGCAAGAUUAAAACCCAAAGGAAUUGACGGGGACCCGCACAAGCGGUGGAUGAUGUGGAUUAAUUCGAUGCAACGCGAAAAACCUUACCUACCCUUGACAUGCCAGGAACUUGGUAGAGAUACCUUGGUGCCCGAAAGGGAGCCUGGACACAGGUGCUGCAUGGCUGUCGUCAGCUCGUGUCGUGAGAUGUUGGGUUAAGUCCCGCAACGAGCGCAACCCUUGUCAUUAGUUGCCAUCAUUUAGUUGGGCACUCUAAUGAGACUGCCGGUGACAAACCGGAGGAAGGUGGGGAUGACGUCAAGUCCUCAUGGCCCUUAUGGGUAGGGCUUCACACGUCAUACAAUGGUCGGUACAGAGGGUUGCCAAGCCGCGAGGUGGAGCCAAUCCCAGAAAGCCGAUCGUAGUCCGGAUCGGAGUCUGCAACUCGACUCCGUGAAGUCGGAAUCGCUAGUAAUUGUGGAUCAGCAUGUCACGGUGAAUACGUUCCCGGGUCUUGUACACACCGCCCGUCACACCAUGGGAGUGGGUUUCACCAGAAGUAGGUAGCCUAACCGCAAGGAGGGCGCUUACCACGGUGGGAUUCAUGACUGGGGUGAAGUCGAAACAAGGUA